rnacentral:lncRNA from 1 species
UUUUUUUUUUUUUUUUUUGGUAGAGAUGGGGUCUCGUUAUGUUGCCCAGGCUGGUUUUGAAUUCCUGGGCUCAAGUGAACAUCUCACCUUGGCCUCCCAAAGUGCUGGGAUUAUAGGCGUGAGCCACUGUGCCCAGCCUAUUUUUACUUUUUACUGUGAAACAUACAUAUAAAAUAACGUAUAUAACAUAUGCACAUUUAAAAGACUAUGUUAAAUCAUAAAAUAAUGAUAAAUGAAGGCUUAUAUAAGCCAGCCUAAGAAACCCAGCCUAAGAAACCUUCCCAAUGCUUUCCAAGCCCAUGCUUGCCCUGCCCCUGUGGCUGCCCCGUAUCCCCCUGCCCAGAUUAACCACUGAGUUCCAUCUUGUGCUAUGGAAGCCCACGGCCCAGAGACCCAGGAACAUGCUUGUAGUAAGAAAAUGGGAGGUUUCGAAAGCUUGUCGCUGCAAGGGAGUGCACAGCCCGGGGAAACCUCGGCGGUGUCUCAGGGAAGGGAUCUGGAAAGCCCCUGAGGAGAUCUAGGCUUGGCUGGAUGAUUCCAAGGGAAACCAGGAAAGCAAGCCCAGUUCUGGACUGAGUGCCUGGGUACUUAAUAAUUUUGAUCUUGGAGGCAAGAGGGUUAAAACCACACUGGCGUUGUCUCUGGUGAGCGAGUCACUCUCAUUCAGAAAGGCAGUGGAAAAGAAGGGGUGUUUCACCAGUGCUUACUCACUGGUGGGGUCUCACAGUUGGCCUGGUCUGUGUCUAUGAGUGUGGUUUGUGGUUUCUUGGAAAUGUUAUCUACGUGAGCACAAUUUGUCAUUACUCACUGUUAAUCAUUGUGUUGCUUUUCUCUAUAGUUCGCAUGUAUAGUAUGUAUCUUGUAGAUUUACGUGUGGCUAAAUGAUAUGCUGCUUGUCAUCACCACCACUACCCCUCCACUGCCACUACCACAACCCCACCACCUCCGCUGCUGCCACCAUCACCACGACAGCUACGCCCUCACACCCACAGAAGCGGCGGUGUGGGAGGCCACAUGUGCUCUAGCUGUUAAAUGUGUGGGGUGUGUAUCUGUGUAUGCCGGCGUGGCUGUGGGGGGAGGGAGAGAGGCUAUUUAGAGAGUUUCAGGCUGAGCAGCACUGAGGAACCAAGAAGUUGGCUGCAAAGAUCUGGGCCUACUGCAAAGAUCAUUGAGUACCUCCUGCAGUCCCAGUCUCUCUCUCCUUACUCCUGGAUCUCUCUGAAGAUGAGGGCUGAGUGACCAAAUAAACAUGGAUCAAGGGCCAGAAAGUAGCAUCAGGCUCAGAGCUGGAAUCAGGGCUGGCACUGUGAGGCCCCGACAGCAGGAGCCUCUGGUCCACCUUGUCCCAGCUGUCUUGAGGACCAUCUCUCCCGGCAGCAUAUCGUGUGGCUUCACACAACUCUGCCUCUCUGAGCCUUGGUUUCUUCAUCUAUAAAAUGGGAAUAAGAGUAAACCACCUCAAUGCACUGUGGGAGGCUUUAAGUAAAUUGAAGUGCUGUGCAAGUGGCUAGCAUGCAGUUGCAGCCCAAUGAAUGUGAGUCCCUUGUCCUGCUCUGGGGGUGGGCUGGAAUCACAGGGUAGUGGGUGGCAGGUAGCAGGAAGUGAGACGAUGGGGUGCCAUGACCUCUCCUAACACGUGAUGCUGGACAGGAAACGGGAGGCUUCCGGGAAGGGCCUGGGACAGAUGCAACCUGCCGCCCGCCCCGAAUGUCCUC